rnacentral:rRNA from 1 species
GUCGGAUUAGCUAGUUGGUGAGGUAACGGCUCACCAAGGCGACGAUCCGUAGCUGGUCUGAGAGGAUGAUCAGCCACACUGGGACUGAGACACGGCCCAGACUCCUACGGGAGGCAGCAGUGGGGAAUAUUGGACAAUGGGCGCAAGCCUGAUCCAGCAAUGCCGCGUGAGUGAUGAAGGCCUUAGGGUUGUAAAGCUCUUUCGGCGGGGAAGAUGAUGACGGUACCCGCAGAAGAAGCCCCGGCUAACUUCGUGCCAGCAGCCGCGGUAAUACGAAGGGGGCUAGCGUUGUUCGGAAUUACUGGGCGUAAAGGGCGCGUAGGCGGCGCAUUAAGUCAGGUGUGAAAGCCCUGGGCUCAACCCAGGAAUUGCACUUGAUACUGAUGCGCUUGAAUCCGGAAGAGGAUGACGGAAUUCCCAGUGUAGAGGUGAAAUUCAUUGAUAUUGGGAAGAACACCAGUGGCGAAGGCGGUCAUCUGG